UAGGGAAUCUUCCACAAUGGACGCAAGUCUGAUGGAGCAACGCCGCGUGAGUGAAGAAGGUUUUCGGACCGUAAAGCUCUGUUGUUGGUGAAGAAGGAUAGAGGUAGUAACUGGCCUUUAUUUGACGGUAAUCAACCAGAAAGUCACGGCUAACUACGUGCCAGCAGCCGCGGUAAUACGUAGGUGGCAAGCGUUGUCCGGAUUUAUUGGGCGUAAAGCGAGCGCAGGCGGAAGAAUAAGUCUGAUGUGAAAGCCCUCGGCUUAACCGAGGAAUUGCAUCGGAAACUGUUUUCUUGAGUGCAGAAGAGGAGAGUAGAACUCCAUGUGUAGCGGUGGAAUGCGUAGAUAUAUGGAAGAAUACCAGUGGCGAAGGCGGCUCUCUGGUCUGCAACUAACGCUGAGGCUCGAAAGCAUGGGUAGCGAACAGGAUUAGAUACCCUGGUAGUCCAUGCCGUAAACGAUGAGUGCUAAGUGUUGGGAGGCUUCCGCCUCUCAGUGCUGCAGCUAACGCAUUAAGCACUCCGCCUGGGGGAGUACGACC
rnacentral:rRNA from 1 species